GGUUCCUGAAACUACCCAGUAUUGAUGUCACACAUUUUAUGCCGCCUACUCCGUGCUAUAUGGUCUGGGACGGUCCAUGAUUGUUUUGGUCAGCUGACUUCUCUUGACUUUGUUUAACUCUGAAACAAGAAAAUGAAAGUUGAGGGUUGAAAGUGUUUCACCCAGUGUUGGAAUAUUUUGAAGCCCUUGACUGAUAUUCGUGGCCCUUCGUUCAUCGCCUUCUGAAGUUACAUUCAAAGGAAUGAUGAUGCUUCCUGCCCUAUAUUAUAUACUGUACGCGAACUGUCACGAAGCAUUAUUUCAGGACCCUAUGCAGACAACACAAUCUGGGGAGGGGUGAGGAAAACACGAGGAAAAAGGCAUGCAAGGGGCUGGAAGCAAAACAGGGGGCGUGUUCAUGGUGCGCUGGUGUUUGGGGAGGUGUGGCCGAGGUAAACAGUCCGAGGGAGUCCGAGGCAAAUCCACAAGUGUAGCAAAAGUCCAAGACCAGGUAAUCCAUCCUGACAGACAAACAGAGUUAAAAGCUGGAGGGGGAUCUGGCUGAGGGUCGGGGGAAUCAAAGGGGGGUCAUGGGACCAGACGCUCCCUAAUCCUGGACUCAGAAGGACAGGACGCCGUGAUGAAGCCUGUGCCGUCAAGUCUCUCCUGGACUCAUGGGUAGGCAUCCAUCUUCCAAAGCUGAUCCCUGAUAGACAGCAACGUUUGGCUUAUAAAGCACGGGGGGCUGGAACCAGAGGCAGGUGCGGGAGAUGAGUAUAAAACAAGGAAGGGCUGGAGCGUCCUUCAGAGGAGGGGUUCACGAGUGUGACAUGAACCUGAUUUCUUUUGCAAGAAACCACAUUUUUCUUCCAUUACACCUCCAAAGUCUUCUGGCUGAAAUCCAGCUGAACAUCAAUGGGCAAUAUUAAGACCAUAUUUUGGGAUAUUGUGAUGUUCUUCAUACAGUAGGUAAACCUACAAAAGACUGGGAAUACCACCAAGAAACACAAUCAGUAAUCAGGCUAGAAGACAGAUUAGAUUUGAAGCCUUGCAGAACAAGGCAGAUAAAAAAAAACUAAUUCAAGGACGGCUGUAGAAUAAUACAAGAACUUGUUAGUUUUGUAGCGGUGUUUCAUAUUCUUCCCUCCGUCGGUAAUUAAGUUCAGCAGUUGCUAUAAAGGGGGUGUAGCAGAGCAGCUGUUUCUCUGACCGGCCCAUGUCCGUGUGUGCUGCAGGUGUGCAGUGUGCAGAUGACGAAGGAAGAAAAUAAGUGCAGGCAUUCACACAGGGCUCCGAGAGCGAAGUCUGCCACAGCUGACUUCCAUCAGACCUCUCUAAUAAAAAGGCUCAGAAUACAGGAGAGGUCGAAUAAAUGACCGGUUGUGGAGUCAGGCUAGUUUUAGUUUUAUGGUUAGAACAGGUAGAAAGUUUAGCAAUCCGGUAGCCUUGAAGCGAAUGUUUACUGUCCUGUGGGGUUUAAAGACGAAAGGCAUGGUGAAAGGCGAGAUGGGUUAAGGUUAAGGGUAGAAAGAAGAACUGCAGCCCAUCUCUCCUGCCUUUUACAAGGGGCUAUAAAAAAGGUUAUGGACCAAGUCAGGGUGGGAAGGCUCUUUCACAAAGGCUGUUCUGUAAAAACAUGGGUUUUACAGUUUCCUGCUGUUUAUCCUCACACUUUAUUAUUCAGGUUAAAGCAAACAGUUCACAAAGACCCAGCUACCCUGCUACCUAUAUUUGUAUAGGUCCUCCAUUCCACACUACCAGUUAAGGGGGGGGGGGUAUCACAGGUGGGUAUAUUUAAACUGUCAUCUGUUUUAGUCAUCGGAGUAAAAGCUCAGAGAAUAGCUGUUUUUUGAGCUCUGCAAAAGGAUUUAUUGUUAGCAUUGUGAGAAUACAGUAACUCAGGAUUUGGCAUGCAAGAUAUUACAUGGGUUUCUGGUUUUUAUUCUGCCUGACUUUGCCGUUUCUCAAUUGAGCUAAUCAUUGAAGCCACUUAAUAUUAAUAUUCUCCAAAUUAAUAUUCUUUUCUCGAGUCUUUAGCUAUUGAUGACUUAAAGAUACCAGUUAAAUCAUCAUCCUUGUGGGCCAUGAGCACUGGUACUGUUAACUGCUGCUGGAGCGUGUUGUCACUCCUUCUGCUUGAAUCACUUACAUUAGGUCUUGUUUUAUUUCAUCCAGUGGCCCAAGGAAUUGUGACAAAUUGUGUUCACACUUCUUUACUAUUAAUAUACAUCUCUUGUUAUGUUGUAUCUUGGUUCACACUUUGAGUUAAUCAGAAGCUGCAACGUUACAGAUAUGUGUUAGAUAAAUAGUUAAAUAGAUAUAUGUGUGAGAUACAUAGUUAAAACUGUAGAAUUUAUUUCUAUGUAUAUGUUAAUGUUUAAAAUGUACUAAUAAGAUCUAAUUUAGAAUAUUGUGUACAAUGUUGGUCACCCUGAAUUGUUUUAGAACAAACAUGUUGCUGCUCUGGAAUCAGUGCAGAGAAGAGUAACAAAGUACAGUACUGUGCAUUAUUUGACUUCAGGGAGUGUCCCGUAGUGACAGGCUGAAGGAAGUGAACCACUGUAGUCUCAAAUGGAGAAAGCUACAAGGGGACCUGAUACACGUAUUCAAAAUCCUCAAAGACACUGACAAAGUCAACCCACUGGAUUCCUUCAGGAUAAACAGUGACAAUGAACCAGAACACUGAAGUGGAAAUGUACUGGAAGCUGAAAGAAAAUGAAGAAUGGGAGCCACUUGUUUACGUAUGGGUUGUGGGAAUAUGGAACAAUCUACGUACUGCACCUAGCCAUAUUGAAAACAGUACUUUGGCUUCCUCAAAAGACUUGGCUUAAUGAGAUCCUUGGAUCAUUUAGCUGCUUAAUGAGAUCCAUGUAUCAAUAAGCUGCUAAAUACCCCUCAUCUGCAGGGGCUAAAUGGCCUGAAAUUCAAGCCUCUUUUAUGUGUUCAUAUAAAAAACAAAAAUCAUAAUUUUACACUAAAUGUCAAAACUCAGCAUUGUUAUUGUUUUAAAUGUACAUUAUAUUCUUUUGUCCCCAAGUUGGAAACGUCUGUGUUUUCUUCUUUUUUCGUGCCCUUCACUGUAUGAGUAGCACUUUAACAUUUAAAACUAUUUCAACCACCAGCCCUGAGACACAUGCAUACAUCAAUGUUCUCAGACAAAAGUACGUCUUUAUCAACUGUUCACUAUUCCUGCCAGCUAUUGGACCAUAGGAACACCAUUAUUCACAUGACAAAGGUGAUCAUGCAAAUUAAGGAAAUGAAUAACGUAUUAACUGUAUAAUUAACUGUAUUGUUAUGACAAAGUGAAUAGACGAUUUAAAUAUAGGUAACUGUUGAGGAAAACUACUUGGGAAAAUAAAAAAUAUGCCUCAGAAGCAUUUUAUUUUUGAAUUUUUUAAAAAGCUGUCCCAUUGUCCUCCUGCCUUGGUAUAAUUAAGUAAUAAUCUGAGUUUUGGAAGGUUUAAUAUUCAUUGCCUUGCACAAGUACAUACUGUACCAGCUUCAUAGGAUGCCCCAUUUUGUUGUAUUAUUUAAAGCUGUAUUUUUACAGACACCUUACAGAGACAGGUGUAUUUAGUCUGAAAUCAUAUGAAGGACUGUUAUUCCUUACAGACAGAGGCCAUUCAACUAUAGUGUGAUUUGUCAAAGUAAUUUUGUGUACCUGAACUUAUUUAUUUUUACAGUGGCAAAGGAAGUAAAUACUUAAGCAGUCAA